AAGUCGUAACAAGGUAACCGUAGGUGAACCUGCGGCUGGAUCAUUACUAAAGAAUUUGUGUCAUGCGUUCGCCUACCCGGCGAGCCAUGGCAAUCAAAUUUACACCCCCUUGUGAACUGUUUACCGUGUUUUGGCAGCCCUCCAAAAAGCUUUGGGCCCAGAAAUGGGCCCGAAGCCUGGGCUGCCUGCCUUGAACAACACCAAUGUUUACUAUAUAUCAUGUCUCCAACAGAUUUAUUUAAAAUUUGUUUGUUAUAAUAAUAAAACAACUUUUGACAACGGAUCUCUUGGCUCUC
rnacentral:misc_RNA from 1 species